UAUCAUUGACAGUGACACAGCCAAUGAAAAUGAGAGUUCUUUUACUUCUUCUAUUUUACUUUUUUCCAAAACUUGUGUAAAUAACAAAAAUCAAGCUUUUAAAUUGAUUCGAUUAACGCUUCGGAGAAUAAUACUGACUAUUCGAAUGUAUUGGACAGUGUAAUUGAGUGUUCUGUACUUUAAUUUAAGGGCUAAAUUGUUACGUUUGAGGCAACGUAUUUGUUUUACUGUUUCAUUUUGUAUGAUUGCUUUGGUUCCCUUAUCGUGUUGUUUAUCAACGCAAGCAAACAAUAAUAAGGUUUUAUAACAAGUGAACAUAAUAUAAUAUAGUAAAAGUGAACCUAAAAUUUUAAACCUAUUAUAAUUUAUAGUGUUUUGUGUCAAUAGCAAGUGUAAGUAAACAAAAUGUACAAAAAACCCAGCUCUGGUAAAAGAGGCAAUUUAUCACAGUUUGGCCUGCUAGACAUCCCAGAUGUAGAUGAUGAUGAUCAACCAAUGGAUCUGUCAGAUGAUGAUAUAGACCUGGAGGCAGAGUUGGCAGCUAUCGGUGGAGGCGGUAAACCACGGCCGAAGAAGAAGGUGCCACAGGUGGUUGCUGACCUGGACAGUAUGAUUGCUGCCAGCUUGAGAGAUAUACCAUCUGAUGAGGAAGUGUCAGGUGAUGAAGAUGAUCCAGACUUACUGAGAGAACUACAAGAUAUGUCUCUGGAUGAUGAAGCCCCUCCCACUGAACAACCGCGUAUGUCCAGGCCAGCCCCCCCACCCCCCGGCAGUUCGUCUAACAGCACUGUCAAUUUGCUGCAAGAGAGAAUAUCCAACUAUACUAUAGCAGAGAGAAAUGCUAAGCAGAGUGGGGAAAGUAGUAAGGCUAGAAGGUAUGGACGAGGUAUCAAAACGCUAAACGAUCUAUUAAAACAAGCGAAAGCGGGCAGACCAAUCAAAGACGAAGAUAUACCGCCACCGGUUAGCCUCGGGAAACCUGACCAACCACCACAACCUACCCCAAUAUCACCCCCAGAAUCACCCCCUGAACAACCUCCCGUCCCACCCCGUCGUUCCACAUCAAUACCAAGCGCUCCAGAACCAGAGGAAAGACCCCCAACACCCCCAGAACCUAAGGAGCCACCUCCACCACCACCUAAUGUUGAGGAGUUGGAUCCCGCUAGACAGCAAGGAUUGCAGUUUAUAUUGAAACGAAAGGAAGAGUUUAAAGCGGCUGCGCUCGCAAGCAAGCACGCGGGUGACAAAGCGAUGGCACUAGAAUACCUUAAGGUCGUGAAACAAUUCGAGAUAGUAGUGCAAGCGUACAGAUCCGGCCAAGAUAUGGAUCUCAACGAGCUUCCCACGCCAGAAGCUAUCGCGGCAGCUACAAGGAGUCAACAGAAGGAGGAGGAUCAGACGCAAAAUUCUGCAGAACCAGUUCCUGAACCCACUCCAGAACCAGCUGGAUUGAUAACGGCUUCAACCGUCGACGAGGCAUUACGACAGAGACUCGCUUAUUUUCAGGAGCAAGAAUCUAAAUCCAAGGAGCAAGGUAACUCUUCUAAAGCCCGUAGAAUGGGGCGCAUAGUAAAGCAAUAUCAAGAUGCUAUAAGAUUAAACGCUGCAGGCAAACCCAUACCUGUGGAGGAUCUACCGACUCCCAACGGAUAUGCACCUUUGCCUAGCGAAGGGCCUCGCCCGUCCCCAAGUAAGCCAGCCCCAGUGGCACCUAAAGUAACCCCAAGUCCAUCCCCCAAACCCGCCACCCCGCAGCCAGCCUCGCGCUACGAUAAGCAACUCGUGUUGCUGAUGCACAGACAGAAACAGUUCAAAGAGGCAGCCAUACUUGCUAAGAAGAAUGGUGAUAUAGACCAAGCUAAGGAGUACCUUCGGGCAGCUAAAGGCUUCGAUUCAUUGAUAGAGGCGGCGGAGGGAGGUCUCACCGUGGACCUCAAGUCACUGCCGCUACCGCCCACUGCCAAAAAACAGAUGGAGCAUACUUUCGACGUCGUAUCAGCCGACGACUGCGGUCCUCCCGACGACUCAUCAAUCAGCCUUGGUGAUGAAAACGUCAUGAGCCGUCUGCACACACAACUCACGGCCCAGUUGAAACUGUGCCUAACCAACCGCGACCACUACCGCGCGAUGGGCAAUAUCGCUGAGAGCAAUCGCUUCGAACAUCUAGCUGUUAGUGUGAAACAGGACUUAGAUGUGGUGGCCGUAGCUAAGAGUUUGGGGGAUAAUCCACCUAAAUUCCAUUACGAGAGUCGAAAGUUCUCCGUGGUGCAAUGCAAUACCGACCUUAAUGAAAACGACAUAGAGCUGACAAUCGUUCGCGGCAUCGCGUACAACGUUCCCAACCCGAAGGAGAUUGAUACUUACGUAAAGUUCGAGUUUCCCUUCCCUCAGGAGGCGCCAGUAUCUGACCGGACCCCCUUAGUGAAGGACACGAACAGUCCUCAGUACGACUCGGUGUUCACUCUGCCCAUACAGCGCGGCGCGCGGCCCUGCCUCAGAGUGUUUAAACGACAUGGGAUCAAGUUCGAAGUCUAUUCUAGAGGCGGCUGGUUCAGCAAGGACUCGCUGCUGGGCAGCCUCACCGUCAAGCUGGCGCCCUUAGAGACACAAGUCACGCUGCACGAAGCUUUCCCGGUGAGUAGAACGAUGCCGCAGGUGUGGCAGCUGUAGUGGCUUGUGUUGCAGCGGCUGGUUCAGCAAGGACUCGCUGCUGGGCAGCCUCACCGUCAAGCUGGCGCCCUUAGAGACACAAGUCACGCUGCACGAAGCUUUCCCGGUGAGUAGAACGAUGCCGCAGGUGUGGCAGCUGUAGCGGCUUGUGUUGCAGCGGCUGGUUCAGCAAGGACUCGCUGCUGGGCAGCCUCACCGUCAAGCUGGCGCCCUUAGAGACACAAGUCACGCUGCACGAAGCUUUCCCGGUGAGUAGAACGAUGCCGCAGGUGUGGCAGCUGUAGUGGCUUGUGUUGCAGCGGCUGGUUCAGCAAGGACUCGCUGCUGGGCAGCCUCACCGUCAAGCUGGCGCCCUUAGAGACACAAGUCACGCUGCACGAAGCUUUCCCGGUGAGUAGAACGAUGCCGCAGGUGUGGCAGCUGUAGUGGCUUGUGUUGCAGCGGCUGGUUCAGCAAGGACUCGCUGCUGGGCAGCCUCACCGUCAAGCUGGCGCCCUUAGAGACACAAGUCACGCUGCACGAAGCUUUCCCGGUGAGUAGAACGAUGCCGCAGGUGUGGCAGCUGUAGUGGCUUGUGUUGCAGCGGCUGGUUCAGCAAGGACUCGCUGCUGGGCAGCCUCACCGUCAAGCUGGCGCCCUUAGAGACACAAGUCACGCUGCACGAAGCUUUCCCGCUAAUGGACGGCCGUCGGCCCGCAGGCGGUUCGUUGGAAGUAAAACUGCGCGUACGCACUCCAUUACUGCAGCAACAAGUGGAGAACACAACGCAUCGCUGGCUCGUCAUAGACAACUGACGCGUGACAUCAAC